rnacentral:rRNA from 1 species
GUGGGGAAUAUUGGACAAUGGGGGGAACCCUGAUCCAGCCAUGCCGCGUGUGUGAAGAAGGUCUUCGGAUUGUAAAGCACUUUAAGUUGGGAGGAAGGGCAGUAAGUUAAUACCUUGCUGUUUUGACGUUACCGACAGAAUAAGCACCGGCUAACUUCGUGCCAGCAGCCGCGGUAAUACGAAGGGUGCAAGCGUUAAUCGGAAUUACUGGGCGUAAAGCGCGCGUAGGUGGUUUUGUAAGUUGGAGGUGAAAUCCCCGGGCUCAACCUGGGAACUGCCUCCAAAACUGCAUGACUAGAGUACGGUAGAGGGUAGUGGAAUUUCCUGUGUAGCGGUGAAAUGCGUAGAUAUAGGAAGGAACACCAGUGGCGAAGGCGACUACCUGGACUGAUACUGACACUGAGGUGCGAAAGCGUGGGGAGCAAACAGGAUUAGAAACCCCGGUAGUCC